rnacentral:sRNA from 1 species
UCACAGAGUCAUCGGUAUC